GACGAACGCUGGCGGCGUGCUUAACACAUGCAAGUCGAACGCAAAGUCCCUGCUUGCUGCGUACUCGAGUGGCGAACGGGUGAGUAACACGUGGGUGAUCUGCCCUGCACAACGGGCUAAUCCUGGGAAACUGGCUCUAAUACACGGGAGCUGCUACCGCAUGAGAGUUUGUUCGACAGGUCUUUCGGUGUAGGGUGAGCUGGCGGCCUAUCAGCUUGUUGGUGGGGUAAUGGCCUACCAAGGCGGCGACGGGAAGCCGGACAGAGGGGGUGGACGGCCACACUGGGUCUUAGGUGAGGCCGAGGCUGCGACGGGAGGCAGAUGUGGGGAAUAUUGCACGAGCGGCGCAAGCCUGAUGCAGCGGGGCCGCGGGGGGGAUGACGGCGUUCGGGUUGAAGAAUCCGUUCGCUAGUGACGAAGCGUUUUGUGACGGUACCUAGAUAAAAAGCACCGGCUAACUACGUG
rnacentral:rRNA from 1 species